rnacentral:tRNA from 1 species
GCCUGUAGCUCAGUUGGUUAGAGCAGAGGACUCAUAAUCCUUUGGUCCACGGUUCAAGUCCGUGCGG